rnacentral:rRNA from 1 species
CUACGGGGUGCAGCAGUAAGGAAUAUUGCGCAAUGGAGGCAACUCUGACGCAGCCAUGCCGCGUGCAGGAAGAAGGCCUUAUGGGUCGUAAGCUGCUUUUAUUAGGGAAUAAACCCUCGCUCGUGAGCGAGGCUGAAGGUACCUAAAGAAUAAGCACCGGCUAACUCCGUGCCAGCAGCCGCGGUAAUACGGAGGGUGCAAGCGUUAUCCGGAUUUAUUGGGUUUAAAGGGUGCGCAGGCGGACUAUUAAGUCAGUGGUGAAAUCCCGGGGCUCAACCUCGGAACUGCCAUUGAUACUGAUAGUAUUGAGUUUGGUUGAAGUAGGCGGAAUGUAGCAUGUAGCGGUGAAAUGCAUAGAUAUGCUACAGAACACCAAUCGCGAAGGCAGCUUACUAAGCCAAAACUGACGCUCAUGCACGAAAGCGUGGGGAGCAAACAGGAUUAGAUACCCCCGUAGUC